CAGGCGCACAGAAGAUGCCAUCACUCAUGUCCUUCACACGGCCCUUUCCCACCUGGAACGUAGCGGCACCUAUGUAAGGAUGCUGUUUGCGGACAACAUCUCCGCUUUCAAUACCAUCUUACUGUCCGGGCUCGAUGGCAAGCUUCGAGACCUAGGCGGGAGGCCAUCGCUGCGCAGAUGGAUCCUAAGCUUCCUGACGAACCGCCCCCAAACAGUAAGAGUGUCUGACCAGACAUCAUCCACACUGUGUGUCAGUAUAGGAGUGCCACAGGGCUGCAUCCUCAGCCCUCUCCUGUACUCGUUGUACCCCUAUGACUGCGUGGCGACCGACCAUCAAACCACGUCGUGAAGUUCGCCGAUGACACGGUAGUGGUGGGCCUGGUCUCCGGCGGCGACGAGUCAGCCUACAGGGAGGAGGUGGCCAACGUGGUGCAGCGAUGCACAAGUGAUAACCUCUCCCUAAACGCCAACAAGACCAAGGAGAUCGUGGUCAACCCCAGGAGGCAGAUGGAGGACGAGCUGCAGCCGAUCAUCAUCAAUGGCACAGCGGUGGAGAGGGUGGACACAUUCAAAUAUCUGGGAGUCAACACCUAUGCAGACCUCUCAUGGGAUUGCCACACCACAGCAGUGGUAAAGAAGGCCCAACAGUGCCUAUAUGGACUCAUGCGCCUAAAACAGUUUGGCCUUAGACCCAACACCAUCAGGGACUUCUACAGAGGCACCAUAGAAAGCCUUCUGGCCUUCAGCUUCACAGCCUGGUAUGGCAGCUGCACAGACAGAAACCAUAAGGCACUGGGAAGGGUGGUUCCGAACUGCCAGUAACACCACUGGGUGUGAGCUGCCCAGUCUGGAGGACCUCUACAGCCAGCGCUGCCUCAGCAAAGCCCAGGGGAUAAUGGAGGACCCCACCCACCCCCACAAAGGACUAUUCAUUCCCCCUGAGGUCCAAAAGGGUAGACUCCAUUAGACUGCUAAAUAAAUGUUGACAGUAGAAAUGAUGGGUAAUAUCUAAAUGUGCAAUACCACACUGCACUUUGCACUCCUGCAUUUUCCUUACAGCCGGUUUUAUUGUUGCCUGUUUGCCUGUUUUUCAUUGCCAUGCUGACUGACAGUUGCUUUGUUUAAGACACUUUUGUUUAUCUUUCAUAAUAACAUUGUCUUUUUUUUAAGCUGAGAACCGAAACUAAAAAGUAACACACACACAGAAAAUGACAUGAAACAUGCCACAGUCUGUGAGUACCUGGGGCAUGGGUGUAAUAAACUUUCUUCAUUUGUAUUUCAUUGGAAAACCUCAGGGGCAGUGAUUCAUCGAGCAACAAUGGCAUAAAAGCUAUGGGGGCCCUCACUACCAUAGCCAGCAAGUGUUUUGAGAGCCUGGUCAAAGGUCUCAUAUGCCCCAUGCUCCCCCCCAGCCUUGACCCCCUACAGUUUGCCUACCAAGCAAACAGGCGCACAGAAGAUGCCAUCACUCAUGUCCUUCACACAGCCCUUUCCCACCUGGAAUGUAGUGGCACCUAUGUAAGGAUGCUGUUUGCGGACAACAUCUCCGCUUUCAAUACCAUCUUACCAUCCGGGCUCGAUGGCAAGCUUCGAGACCUAGGCGGGAGGCCAUCGCUGCGCAGAUGGAUCCUAAGCUUCCUGACGAACCGCCCCCAAACAGUAAGAGUGUCUGACCAGACAUCAUCCACACUGUGUGUCAGUAUAGGAGCGCCACAGGGCUGCAUCCUCAGCCCUCUCCUGUACUCGUUGUACCCCUAUGACUGCGUGGCGACCGACCAUCAAACCACGUCGUGAAGUUCGCCGAUGACACAGUAGUGGUGGGCCUGGUCUCCGGCGGCGACGAGUCAGCCUACAGGGAGGAGGUGGCCAACGUGGUGCAGCGAUGCACAAGUGACAACCUCUCCCUAAACGCCAACAAGACCAAGGAGAUCGUGGUCAACCCCAGGAGGCAGAUGGAGGACGAGCUGCAGCCGAUCAUCAUCAAUGGCACAGCGGUGGAGAGGGUGGACACAUUCAAAUAUCUGGGAGUCAACACCUCUGCAGACCUCUCAU